GAUGAACGCUGGCGGCGUGCCUAAUACAUGCAAGUCGAGCGAACGGACGAGAAGCUUGCUUCUCUGAUGUUAGCCGCGCACGGGUGAGUAACACGUGUAUAACCUACCUAUAAGACUGGGAUAACUUCGGGAAACCGGAGCUAAUACCGGAUAAUAUUUUGAACCACAUGGUUCAAAAGUGAAAGACGGUCUUGCUGUCACUUAUAGAUGGAUCCGCGCUGCAUUAGAUAGUUGGUCAGGUAACGGCUUACCAAGGCAACCAUGCAUAGCCGACGUGAGAGGGGGAUAGCCGGCAUUGGAGCUUGAACAGCGUCCAUGCUCCUGCGGGACGCAGCAGUAGGGAACCGGACGCAGUAGGCGAGAGCAUGGCGGAGCAACGCGGAGUGAGAGGUAGAGGUCCUCGGAUCGUAAAACUCUGUUAUUAGGGGAGAACAUAUGUGUAAGUAACUGUGCACAUCUUGACGGUAACUAGUCAGAAAGCCACGGCUAACCACGUG
rnacentral:rRNA from 1 species